rnacentral:rRNA from 1 species
AUUGAACGCUGGCGGCAGGCCUAACACAUGCAAGUCGAGCGGAUGACGGGAGCUUGCUCCUUGAUUCAGCGGCGGACGGGUGAGUAAUGCCUAGGAAUCUGCCUGGUAGUGGGGGACAACGUUUCGAAAGGAACGCUAAUACCGCAUACGUCCUACGGGAGAAAGCAGGGGACCUUCGGGCCUUGCGCUAUCAGAUGAGCCUAGGUCGGAUUAGCUAGUAGGUGAGGUAAUGGCUCACCUAGGCGACGAUCCGUAACUGGUCUGAGAGGAUGAUCAGUCACACUGGAACUGAGACACGGUCCAGACUCCUACGGGAGGCAGCAGUGGGGAAUAUUGGACAAUGGGCGAAAGCCUGAUCCAGCCAUGCCGCGUGUGUGAAGAAGGUCUUCGGAUUGUAAAGCACUUUAAGUUGGGAGGAAGGGCAGUAAGUUAAUACCUUGCUGUUUUGACGUUACCGACAGAAUAAGCACCGGCUAACUCUGUGCCAGCAGCCGCCGUAA